rnacentral:snoRNA from 1 species
CCAACAUGGAUACCCCAGGAGGCCACACUCCCUGGGCUCUAAGUGGCACACAGGAACAUAGGGCUCUGCCCCAUGACGUACAGCCCCUUUCCACAAUGUUGGAGAAGAAGCUGGGCCUUGAGUCUGAGCCUGCAUAUUCCUGUGACUUCUGAGUCCUGUGGACAAUGACUAAGAAAACAAACCAUACAAGAAACACUC